CACGUCUUUUUAUCCAAUAAUGACCUAGCGCCCCCAUAGGUUGAAGAGGUUAAAAUACAUUUUCAGAUGUUCCGAGCUCGGCCUCCUGAUGUCGUUUGACCCCACAUAGGUUUACGACAGUGUCAGCUCCCGGCAUCUAUCAUAGAACAGUCGGAAACAGCCUUCUUAUGUCCUGUACUCAUGCUCCUGGGUAGCACAGAGUUUUUGCCUUGGGGACCGAGAUGUUUCUCACCAUAGAGCUGCCUAUGAUGACAGCUGGCGAUGUUAAAUGGGCCGGUCUCUCAGGCAGCCUCACGGUCUGGUGAGGGUGGGAGCUCCGAGGAUCUGAACCCGAGGUAGAAGCCACCAGAGAGGGAGACAGAACAGAGGACGAAUACGCAGGAACAUCUGGAUCCGGGGCGUCAAAGACGUUUCUGGUCUGUGUCAGGUCCGGGCUCACAAUCUCCAAACAGAUCCUCGUUAUCAGAGGACGCUUUCUUCGACUUCCGCGGCGAGUGACGUAUCUCCACGGCUGGUUGGGUUGAGAACAGCUCCGUUCUCCAGGGAAUGAGUCGGGGUCUCCCCCCUUCGUUCUCCAGCUCCAUUCUCCAGUUGGCAGCCGCACAUGUAACAUAGAGAAGACUAGCAAGGGGACCCUCAACAUCACGCAGGCAUGCCCUCACUGUGAGCUGUAAAUGGAGCAGGGAGGACACUUGAAUCAGGUUGGUGACAUUUGACCUGGUUAAAGGUCAAAACAGUUUCUAGUUCCUGUCCCAAUUCACCUUUAUAACUUUGCCUGGUGCAAUCAGCCUGAUCGCUGCGUUUUCCAUUCUUUGAUAUCUGAAGUGAAAUAGAAAGGUGAAUGCAGCAAUCAGGUUGGUUCCACCAUGCUAAUCAUAACCACCAUUGAUAAUAUAAUCAGUGCUCUGUGUGUGUGUGUUUGUGUGUGACCGACCAGCAUGUUUGAUGAGGGGCCAGAAGCUGAUCUAUGCUGCCAUGCCCAUCAAUGUGGCGCUGGCAAAGACCUCACCUCCAGCUUCACCCCUUGCCUGCUCACCAAUGGUCGUCAAUGGGGAGACCGGGAUUAGAUGCAUCUAUGGAACCAGCACUUGGAGACUUGCAAGAUGAUGUGAUGUAGUUCUGACCGACAGAGGCUUGAUACUGACGUCUCUGAAUGGAGAGAGACCUGGCACUCAACACAUCCACAAUGUGGAACUGAAGAUGGAGAGAUCUGUAGAUGUUAUUGCCAGACGACAGCCUCGGUCGUUUGAUGGGGAGUCUAUAAUUGAGUAGCUAUUAUCUGACCUGUUCAAACAUUAUCAUACUACCUGUUUGUGUUUCAGAUAUUACAUAUCCUAACUGCCAUUGGUAAUGGAACAAUGACUAUGUGUUUAUGUGUUCACAGAAACAUGUAUUGAGCCAGCACAUGGAGACUUGCAAGAUGCGAUGAAGUCCAGACUGAGA